AUAGACUCAGCAACACUGAGGCAACCAAUGUUUUAUUAUGUUGCCUGGUGAACUAACCCUAGAGCAAAUGAUGCAGGAGGAUGAAUAUGUUUUGAAGGCCUUUGAGAACAAUGAUCAUUCUUCAAAUAUAUUCUAACUGCAGAAACAUGCCUAAAAAAUAAAUAUUUUGUUUACAUGGAGAGAAUACAUAGUGUUCAUUAUUGUUUGGAAAAGUUUCUUUGCUUGCUUUAUACAUGAGCCAAAAAAGCUACCUCUGUAUUUGCACCUGCCUAAAUAUUUCAUAAACUGUUCUGCUGUAAUCUUGAUGGUUUCCAAGCUCAGGUUGAUGCUUAGAGUUUCACUGAUGUUCAAGAACAUGCAUGUGGCUUUUAUGUCACAGCUGUCUCCACAUGUAGGAGAUGAAGCAAGACUCUGUCCAUACAUUAGAUACUGCGCCCGCCACUUAAAUUUCAGUGUGCCACUGCAGUGGAGUCUCUUAGCGCAGAGAUGCAAAUAAUAUCCCUUCAAGAUGUUUCAUAGCUGAGCUCCAAUCACACAAAGCAACGUAUCCUUUUCACUACUGCUAUUGUGUUUUCUUUUUCAGUAUCCAUUGUGAUCUUUUUCAUAAGUCAACAUAUUUUUUCUCUCUCCCUGAACAAUACAGAAUAGUAAGAGAAUUAUAGUUUCCGAGGGUAAAAAGAAUGCUAGACUUGGCUAUGUGUGUCUUAGUUUUAGAGCUUUGUUGGAUGCAUGUAGAAUAUGUGUUUUUUGUUUAAGUGUUCUUAGUUUGAAAGAGUGAGAUGGAUUGUAUUUUUCUCCGUUACUGUCUUUUUGGUGCAUCUUCACAUAGAAAUGUGUUUGUCUCUUGGGAAGUUGGCAGUGUAAGUGACUGGAAAAACUAGCUAAUAAAUCUGGGAUUAAUAGGGCUGUAGACAGCGAAGUACAUAGGUGUAGGAAGGAUCACCAGCCACUGAAUGCUGCACAUCUAGAAACUGUCAAUAGAGAGUAUGAAAAAUGUAAAGGACAAAGCAAAACUAGGAGAAGUUCCAGCUCGUUUUUCUGCUUGCUGAAGCAAUCUCUCACUUCAGCAUAUCCUGGUCCCCUAGGGAAGAGUUGUUCUUAGGGCUUGAUCUUGCUUCUACUCGCAGCCAAAGUAAGUCUCCUUUAGGUUAAAAGUGGAUAGGAUCACAUCAUUAAUGAUCAUCUCUCCAAAAAUAGAACCAGCAAAAGUAACAGUGCUUCAUGUUAUACUAUACUCUGCUAUACUCUGUAUACAAAGUAGCUCUCUAUUCUUGUGUAAAAAUUUGUUCAAAUUUAGAGGUAUUUAGAGAUGUGUAUUAAAUCUUUAAAGCUGAUUUUUCCAGUUCUCUUAAUUAGUGGACCAAAUGAUGGAUACAAUUGCUGUGCACUUGUGGUAUUGAGGACAAUUUCUAUUUGAGGAGGGAAAAAUGUGAAGAAAUUUUCUGUGUGCUGAAUUAAAUCCCUUGAAGUCGAUUGUGGCCAGGAAUGUAAGUAAAUUAGCAUGGUGCUCUUGAAUUCAGUGGAGCCACACUGAUGGCUGUUACCUGUGAUUGAUUAUCAUUGAAUAAUGCAAUGAAAUUCCUUGUUUAUUAACACAAGGAUAAAACGAGAAAGGGAGAAAAGCUGCUACCUUUCUACCACAACUGGCCAAAGAAAUGAGAACUGCUAAAGAUUUACACCUUUGAUGUGCUCUUCUUUUACCUAAAACUGCCAUAAAUAGCAACAAACCUAUGAACUUCAUAGGACCAUGGGUCUGUACACAGAAUUCUUUCUGGUUGGAAGGGCAAUGUUAAGGGAGGUACUCAUGGUGUAAAGCAAGCACAGCAUCUUGUUUCCUAUUGCAUAAAUAAUCGUACUGAUUAUAGACUGAAUGAAGUAUAUGAUUAAGUUCCAGACUGGCGAUGCUAGGGUUGGACAGAAAAUCUUGACUUGUAACAUCAUCUGAAAUAAUGCUGUUAAGAUUUGCUCUUAACCAGAGUUGAGGUUCACUGAUGGACAUUGUAUUGCCAUCUAGUAGAAGGUUUCCACUGUAAACAAUGUAUGAGGCAGAGUCAGAGCGUUAGUGUAUUUCUCCAGCAAUGGGUGGAAAGAGAUUACCAUAACAGAGGUGGUUAUGCUUCUUUGCACCCUAGGGAUUCAAAUUCUGUGUCAGGAUUAAGAUUUGUUUAUGUCAGUCUAAUUUGGCACUUGAGUUUUGCUUUCUCACAGCCACACUCGUCACUGACUUUGCAUAACAAGCAAUAAAUGUGCUGAUCAUUGUUUAUGCUGAAAAGUAUGGCAUACAUCUUCACAAACACACACUCACAAAAAAAGACCUACCUUUGAUUUAGUGAGAUGUGAAGCUUACUGCUCUGGCCUCAUUGGUAUUCUGCAGUGGUUCUUUAUUUAGUUUUUCUACCUGAAUGAUGAGAGUUCUCACAACAUGGAUGUUGGGUAUGCAAAAAGUGCAACUUCUGAUAUUUUCCAACAUUAGCAUUAAAAAGUUUAUACUCUAUGGAGAAAGUACUGAUGGCAGACCUUGCUGUUGUUGUCUUUUUAACCUUAAGCUCUUUCAGUGAACAUCAAGUAUGGAUCCCUGUGUGAGGAGGGAGACCGUAUUACUAAGCCUUGCAAUCUGCUCCUUAGCUUUCCAGAACAGAGAAGUUGCAUUUACACUAAGUCCUGAAUUUACAAAGGCUAUUUAUUUCCAAUUUUGCACUAACAUAGAAUUUAUUUAUUUAUUUAAAAAGCAUGCUCCCUCAUUUCACUUUCACCUUCUGCAGUGAAGUCUUGCUUCUUGUGGCUGUGACCCCAGAAUCAGUUGCCAGAGAAAUAAAUGUGAUGACACAGAUUAAAUCCUUCAGCACUGAAUCGAGUGCAAGGAACAAAGGAGAAGAUAAGUGCCUUUCUAAAAUAGAAACAUUUAUUAGAAAAAUCCAUUUGUUUUUGUCAGCUCUGUUUGAACAGAUUGUUCCAGUAUCAAAAUCUCCACUUAAUUGAAACAUAUAUAUAUACAUAUACAUACAUAUAUAUACAUAUAUACAUAUAUAUAUACAUACAUAUAUAUAUAAGUUUUGCAGUGAUAUAUAUAUAUAUAUAUGUUUGGCAGUGAUCUCGUGCUCCUGGUUCUUGCCUAGUUUCUGCUUAAAUAAGCUGAGAGGCUUCUGCUACUUUCGAUGGACUUUGUUUAAAACCUCUGUUGAAAACUCUUAACAUCUGGCAAUGCUAAACUGAAAAAGCAGUAUUGAAAGUAAGAGUUUGUCACGUAGAACCCAGAUCAAUGUGCUGGGCUCUGUGCUUUGCAUUUAAGAAAGGCUGAGAGAAAAGAAAAGGGAGAGAGUCUUUUCCUAGAAGAACCUAGAACAAGAUCUUAAACCAUGAGUGCUGGGGUAUCGGAAUUCCUUAUUACCCAAAUAUGUGGAAAUCUCGCCUUCAUCAGAAGUUCCUACACAAUUUUGGCACAAAUAUAACAAUUAUAUCUGCAAAUGAGAAAAAUGUGUUCUGUAAUAAGACUUGCCUGGACUGCAAAUUAAAAUGUUUAAAGAACACCAUUCUUUAAUUUUAGGCUCACCUUUAGUGGAAUGUGAUUUAGUAGAUUCCUUGUCUACUCCUUGCUCAGCCUUUGCUGCCUAAACAUAGGAUGUGCUGCUCAGGUCCAUGUGCUCAGGUCCACUGUCAGGGAGAAGCUGGCAGCUCUGAGGGGAGCAGGGUGAAGCCAAAUACUGAACUGCAUGCUGGAGGCUGCUGUUGACUACAAAAGGAGUUGAAGUGACCAGCUGAGAUCAGCUUCUAAAUGGGUAAACCCAGUAUUAAAGGCAGAAAUCAAAGCACAGGACCCAUGGGAAGCGACGUUUCAAAUGUACACCAUUGCUUUUCUUCGUCAUUGUUCUGAACUGUGCACCCUCUGCUCCUGACAGUGCACCCACAACAAGAUAAGGAGCAAAUGGAAAAUUGACUGAGAUGAGAGAAGCCAGCAAGUUAAGGUCCAAAUUGAAACAUUUGAGUACAUAAGUGUCUUCUGUGGGAAGAGGAGCAACAGCUGCCCACCAAAUUGGAAGAAGAUAUAAUGAAUGCAUCUUCUCUGAAUCACAAGAAAAAGACUAUUUCAACUUAAGAGAACAUUUUAAUCUCAGUCAAAAUGGGGCAUCUUCACCAUAAGGUUGUCUGCAGUCAUGCCACCUCAUGGUGUCCGGAAGAUGCCAUGCACUGGUGCCACUGCAUCCUGCUGCCACGAGCUGUGUGCUUGCAGCAGCGUCACCUGAAGAGAUGAUUCCAAUGUCGAACACCUGAGCACGGCCCCUCUGUCCUCAACACUGUGCCCUGCCCUCCGGCUCCUGCCUUGGGAUUUGCUCCAAGAUGUUAUGUAACAGAAGUCACUGGGAGGUAAAAGGUACAUAGCCUGCAUUUCUUUUCUUUUUAAAAUGUGAUUGUAAAAGAUGGCAGCU